GUGCCUCUAAAGUCUAAAACCUAAAACCUAGUUCAGCUUCUCUUCACCAGCGCUGCCAUUUGUGUACUUCUAUCUUCAAAUACAAAAGCUAAUCAAUCUUCUUCGCUAACACUCUACUAGUGAGAUUUUCCAUUUGUGUGGUCGUUGGUAGCCUUUAACGGCAAUGUCCAAAGCAUCACGUCAUUCUCUAUACGGUGGAGAGGUGUGUGAUGGCCUCUAUGACACGGAGAAUCUUCGAUGAAUUUUGUUUUGUUUUGUUUUUUUUUUAAUUUUUUAAUAAUUAAAAAUUUUAUUCAAGAUUUAAUCAAAUUAACCCAAAUUCAUUUAGGUUAUUAUUAUUUAAAUAUUUUUUUUUAUAUUUGAAAAAAAUGAAUCGCCUUGCAACGCAGCGGGCAAAAAACUCUAGUAUUAUACUAUUAUAUGAUAUUCAUUGCUGAAUCAUGCCCUGUUAAAUGAGUUUGUUGAAUGGAAAAGGUUAGGUUGGGACAGAGGACUUUGUUUGCCGACAGAUUCUGAAAUGCCUUUGUGGAAUUAUGCUAUUAUGACCAAAGGAAAGUUUAGCGGAUAUGUUCUCGUAUCAAAAAGUUUCAGGAAAAAAAUUUCAGAAAGUUGAGAUAUGUUUUCCAUGCUAGAUUCAAACGGUUGCUUACGCGUGCUUUCAUUUUCUUGGGUCGAGCCCAUCAGAAUUUUAUUGUUCAAUGCUAGAUUGAACAUUGCAUGAUGAACGAUUUGAAAUUUAAAAGUAGUGUUUCAAAUUUCAAGCAAUAAGAAAAUAGGCCUUUGCCGCUUCGGACUGAUAUCUGUCAAUGAAGAAAAUAAUUCUGAGAGAUGUGCAUUUCUUCUAAAAUAACCUGAUCAAAUUAUAUAGCGGUAUUGUAAUUUAGUGUAAAAAAAACUCAAGCUUUGUUCUUACGCAUUGCUACUAGUAAAUUGGUCUGAUCCCUCACACACUCCACUUCCUCUGUUGUGAUUGUUUAUGUAUGUUUGGAGAUUCCUUGAUGUGUUGAAACCAAAUGAUGAUUUUGGAUUCAAAUUUCUCACGAUGGACAUCUGAGACUCUUCAAGCUUCAGUGUUGAUUGAAUUACCCAAUACUCGUGAUGGUUUCAUCUCCCUUGUAUUACAACUUAUUCUAGGAAGAAAUGACACUGAUAAUGAUAGCAAGUAAAAUAACUGCAUCCUGCUCGUGUUGAUUCAAUUGUUCUUAUGGACAUCUCCAGUUCUCCUUUACAGUUAUGCACUGCCCAGUUUUAUGGAUGAACAUUUCUGCAUUUGCUGAACAAGUUUGAAGCAGGCCAUUAUCUUAAAGUCGUGUUCAACUUCAUAUUUUAAUUUCUUAUCCAGAAUAUCGCUCAUGCAAUGAAUUAUUACUUAUUCAAAAUGCUGCCAUGCUUCCUCUCCUUUAUCAGGUUCCUAAGCACUCCUGCUGCAGUGCUUCAUGGUUAAGAAGCCGGUCUGGGAUUUCUAGGUGGAACCCGUCACCUCAAUCAAGUGUGAUGGCGCCUGUGAGAAUUUACCGGGGACUUCCUUGCUGCUGAUAUGCUAUAGGGGCGGGUGUUCCAGAUUUUCAUUUGACAUAGCUACAGGAAAAAAUAAGAAUGGUUAAAAUUCACUCCAAAUAAAUUUGCAAUUGUUCACCAAUUCCGCUGUGGUACACUUUCACAAUGCAUGGUGAUAACAUGAAUAUGACUUCACAAUCCGAAAAUAUUGGAAUUUCAA